rnacentral:rRNA from 1 species
GACGGGGGGGCCUAGCGUUGUUCGGAAUCAUUGGGCGUAAAGCGGGCGUAGGUGGCUAUGUAAGUCAGGAGUGAAAGCCCUGGGCUCAACCCAGGAAGUGCUUUUGAAACUGCGUAGCUUGAGUGUGGAAGAGGAUAGUGGAAUUCCUGGUGUAGUGGUGAAAUACGUAGAUAUCAGGAGGAACACCGGCGGCGAAGGCGGCUAUCUGGUCCAACACUGACACUGAGGCCCGAAAAGCGUGGGGAUCAAACAGG